GCCCCGCCGUUUUCUGUGCCGGUGAACGUGCGUGCUUUGUCGAAGAUUUGAUCACGCUUGUCUACAUAGUUCCGGAUAUUCUUGGACCAUCGUUCACAAGUUUUUCUGUUUACGCUCCUGGCGUUUCAUUCAGCGGUCACUUCAGGAAACCAACAGGGAACCUUGUCGGAAGCGGAAUAAAAACUUCCCUCUUUCUCUACGUGCUUAAAUUCACUGCUUCAUGGCCAAGAAAUGCUUACUUUGGCACGCCGCCGCAUGACAGCACACCUAAUAGAUGAAGUCACUGAAUUGCUGGAGUAGAACAACUUGAUUGAAAGCUCUAACCCUGCUGCCGGAAGGUGGAACUACUGUGCCUUUGCAGAAACUCUACAUGAAGGUUAUCCACGAAUGGUAUGGAAAGAAAAG